CCUCUGCCUGCCUCCCCCUGCACCUUCUCUCCUCCCCACCUUUCCCUGCACCCUCUCCUCUGCCUACCUUCCCCUGCACCCUCUCCUCUGCCUACCUUCCCCUACACCCUCUCCUCUGCCUACCUUCCCCUAUACCCUCUCCCCUCCCUACCUUCCCCUGCACCCUCUCCUCUGCACACCUUCCCCUGCACCCUCUCCUCUGCCUACCUUCUCCUGCACCCUCCCCUGCACACCUUUCCUUGCACCCCCUCCCCUCCCUACCUUCCCCUGCACCCACUCCUCUGCCUCCCCUCCCCUGCACACAUCACAUACACACAGCCCUCUGCCCAAGCACACCUGCACUGAGCUUCAGUCUCAGCCCGUGUGCACGCUUGCACCUCCCACACAGCACACUUCCUACCACACACACCUCCCAUUACCACUGCACAGAGCUUAGGCUGCAGACCCCUCACACACCUUCUGAGUAUAUACAACACCCAUUGCAACACUUGUCACAGAGCCCAGGACCACAGGCACCCCACAGCACACACACUGUACCUCACACCCACCCUUGGCUGCUGAUGCCACACUCACAGCCUCCUGCUCUCCCGCACUCUCUCACACACACAUACACACAUGCAUGCAUGGGUCCUGUGCACCGCAGGCCUCCUCUCAGCCAGGCCCUGACACAGGCUCACUCAGAGCAACAGGGAAGGUACAGAGUCACCUGGUUCCCGUUCUUUCCUCCGGGGGGCAAAUGUUGGUCAUUGAUGUGCCUUUGGGAGCAAACUCUCGCCUCCGCUGGGUCCCAGUGAGUGUCCACAGCACCAAGGCUGCUCUGGGUGCAUCACCAAGCGCGGUGGGGACCUGGCUUGUGUUUAUGUGUAUUUUAAUCAGAACUUUCCUGUAGCUUCCUGGCCUUGCAGUCACAUCCUCUCCUAAACCUAAACCCCACCCAGGCACCCACCCCUUCCCUAGGCGGGCGGGAGGACGGGCAGUUGGUGGUUCUCACCCCGCCUGCCCCAGCUCUUCCUGUAGCUCUGAGUCAAGCGGCUCCUUCCUCUGGGGCCCGCCCCAACCCACCCAGGCACGGCACUUUCCUCUGUGCUGUGUGUGUGUGUGUUUGUGUUGUGUGUGUGUGUUGUGUGUGUGUUGUGUGUUGUGUGUGUGUUGUGUGUGUGUGGUGUGUGUGUGUUGUGUGUGUGUUGUGUGUUUGUGUUGUGUGUGGGGUGUGUGUGUGCUGUGUUUGUGUUGUGUGUGUAUUGUGUGUGCUGUGUGUGUUUGUGUUGUGUGUGUGUUGUGUGUGUUGUGUGUUUGUGUUGUGUGUGUGUGGGGGGUGUGUGUGUUGUGUGUGUGUUGUGUGUGUGUGUUUGGGUGUGUGUGGGGUGUGUGUGUUGUGUGUGGGGGGUGUGUGUGUGCUGUGUGUGUGCGCUCUGUGUGUGUUGUGUGUGUGGUUGUGUGUGUGGGGUGUGUGUUUGUUUUGUGUGUGUGUGGUGUGUGGUGUGUGUGGUGUGUGUGUGUGGUGUUGUGUGUUUGUGUUGUGUGUGUGUGCUGUGUUUGUGUUGUGUGUGUGGGGGUGUGUGUGUAUGUGGUUGUGUGUGCUGUGUGUGUGUGUUGUGUGUGUUGUGUGUUUGUGUGUGUGUUGUGUGUGUUGUGUGUGUGUGGAUGUGUGUGGGGUGUGUGUGUUGUGUGUGGGGUGUGUGUGUGUGCUGUGUGUGUGCGCUCUGUGUGUGUGUGUUGUGUGUAUGUGUGUGUG
rnacentral:lncRNA from 10 species